AAUCAACGCUGGCGGCGUGCCUUACACAUGCAAGUCGAACGGCAGCACGGGAGCAAUCCUGGUGGCGAGUGGCGAACGGGUGAGUAAAGUAUCGGAACGUGCCCAGUCGUGGGGGAUAACGUAGCGAAAGUUACGCUAAUACCGCAUACGAUCUAUGGAUGAAAGCGGGGGAUCGCAAGACCUCGCGCGAUUGGAGCGGCCGAUAUCAGAUUAGGUAGUUGGUGGGGUAAAGGCUCACCAAGCCGACGAUCUGUAGCUGGUCUGAGAGGACGACCAGCCACACUGGGACUGAGACACGGCCCAGACUCCUACGGGAGGCAGCAGUGGGGAAUUUUGGACAAUGGGCGCAAGCCUGAUCCAGCCAUGCCGCGUGCAGGAUGAAGGCCUUCGGGUUGUAAACUGCUUUUGUACGGAACGAAAAGGUUUGACUUAAUACGUUGGACUCAUGACGGUACCGUAAGAAUAAGCACCGGCUAACUACGUGCCAGCCGCCGUGGUAAAAC
rnacentral:rRNA from 1 species